UACGUAGGGGGCGAGCGUUGUCCGGAAUUAUUGGGCGUAAAGAGCGUGUAGGCGGUUCGGUAAGUCUGCCGUGAAAACCUGGGGCUCAACCCCAGGCGUGCGGUGGAUACUGCCGGGCUAGAGGGUGGUAGAGGCGAGUGGAAUUCCCGGUGUAGCGGUGGAAUGCGCAGAUAUCAGGAGGAACACCAAUAGCGAAGGCAGCUCGCUGGGACGGUAUUGACGCUAAGGCGCGAAAGCGUGGGGAGCAAACAGG
rnacentral:rRNA from 1 species